rnacentral:rRNA from 1 species
UCUGGCUCAGAUUGAACGCUGGCGGCAGGCCUAACACAUGCAAGUCGAGCGGAUGACGGGAGCUUGCUCCUUGAUUCAGCGGCGGACGGGUGAGUAAUGCCUAGGAAUCUGCCUGGUAGUGGGGGACAACGUUUCGAAAGGAACGCUAAUACCGCAUACGUCCUACGGGAGAAAGCAGGGGACCUUCGGGCCUUGCGCUAUCAGAUGAGCCUAGGUCGGAUUAGCUAGUUGGUGGGGUAAUGGCUCACCAAGGCGACGAUCCGUAACUGGUCUGAGAGGAUGAUCAGUCACACUGGAACUGAGACACGGUCCAGACUCCUACGGGAGGCAGCAGUGGGGAAUAUUGGACAAUGGGCGAAAGCCUGAUCCAGCCAUGCCGCGUGUGUGAAGAAGGUCUUCGGUAU